rnacentral:lncRNA from 1 species
AGAGCCGUGCAGCGCCCCUCCCCCGCUCGCUAGAGAAGCUGACAAGCCUAGUUCCUCCCAUGUGUCGCGCAUCACUUCGGCCAUGGCAGCACUGGCAGCUUGCUGAUGGCAACAACAUCUGCUUCAGCGACGGCAGCAUCGUCCGAGCUCCUCUAGUGCGCCAGCUGCCCAUGGUCCCUUCUUGCAACGCCCUUCUCCUGCUGCUGCCCUUGCUGUGCCCUCCUGCCGCCCGUGUCGCCCCUGAGCGUCGCCAGGAUGCUAUCGCCAGCGUUCUUAUCCGGAGGCCACUGCGGAACUGCCUUGAUCGGCUAUAAAAGGGUCCACGAGCCCCUUGGGCAGUUCAGGAGCCUCCCGGAGCCCGCAGUCGUCUCCCC